GAUGCGUUCCAUUAGUUAGUUGGCGGGGUAACGGCCCACCAAGACAACGAUGGAUAGGGGUUCUGAGAGGAAGGUCCCCCACAUUGGAACUGAGACACGGUCCAAACUCCUACGGGAGGCAGCAGUGAGGAAUAUUGGUCAAUGGACGAGAGUCUGAACCAGCCAAGUAGCGUGAAGGAUGACUGCCCUAUGGGUUGUAAACUUCUUUUAUAUGGGAAUAAAAUGUUCCACGUGUGGGAUUUUGUAUGUACCAUAUGAAUAAGGAUCGGCUAACUCCGUGCCAGCAGCCGCGGUAAUACGGAGGAUCCGAGCGUUAUCCGGAUUUAUUGGGUUUAAAGGGAGCGUAGGUGGAUUGUUAAGUCAGUUGUGAAAGUUUGCGGCUCAACCGUAAAAUUGCAGUUGAAACUGGCAGUCUUGAGUACAGUAGAGGUGGGCGGAAUUCGUGGUGUAGCGGUGAAAUGCUUAGAUAUCACGAAGAACUCCGAUUGCGAAGGCAGCUCACUGGACUGCAACUGACACUGAGGCUCGAAAGUGUGGGUAUCAAACAGGAUUAGAUACCCUGGUAGUCCACACA
rnacentral:rRNA from 1 species